GACGAACGCUGGCGGCGUGCUUAACACAUGCAAGUCGAACGAUGAUGCCCAGCUUGCUGGGUGGAUUAGUGGCGAACGGGUGAGUAACACGUGAGUAACCUGCCCCUGACUCUGGGAUAAGCGUUGGAAACGACGUCUAAUACUGGAUAUGACUGCCGGCCGCAUGGUCUGGUGGUGGAAAGAUUUUUUGGUUGGGGAUGGACUCGCGGCCUAUCAGCUUGUUGGUGAGGUAAUGGCUCACCAAGGCGACGACGGGUAGCCGGCCUGAGAGGGUGACCGGCCACACUGGGACUGAGACACGGCCCAGACUCCUACGGGAGGCAGCAGUGGGGAAUAUUGCACAAUGGGCGAAAGCCUGAUGCAGCAACGCCGCGUGAGGGAUGACGGCCUUCGGGUUGUAAACCUCUUUUAGUAGGGAAGAAGCGAAAGUGACGGUACCUGCAGAAAAAGCACCGGCUAACUACGUGCCAGCAGCCGCCGUAA
rnacentral:rRNA from 1 species